UACGAAGGGUGCUAGCGUUGUUCGGAAUUACUGGGCGUAAAGCGCGCGCAGGCGGUCUUCCAAGUCAGUGGUGAAAGCCCGGAGCUCAACUCCGGAACUGCCAUUGAAACUGUUGGACUUGAGUAUGAGAGAGGUGAGUGGAAUUCCCAGUGUAGAGGUGAAAUUCGUAGAUAUUGGGAAGAACACCGGUGGCGAAGGCGGCUCACUGGCUCAUUACUGACGCUCAGGCGCGACAGCGUGGGGAUCAAACAGG
rnacentral:rRNA from 1 species